UACGUAGGGUGCAAGCGUUGUCCGGAAUUAUUGGGCGUAAAGAGCUCGUAGGCGGCCUGUCGCGUCGACUGUGAAAACCCAGGGCUCAACCCUGGGCCUGCAGUCGAUACGGGCAGGCUAGAGUGCAGUAGGGGAGACUGGAAUUCCUGGUGUAGCGGUGAAAUGCGCAGAUAUCAGGAGGAACACCGGUGGCGAAGGCGGGUCUCUGGGCUGUAACUGACGCUGAGGCGCGAAAGCGUGGGGAGCAAACGGG
rnacentral:rRNA from 1 species